UAACGCGAUAAGUGAUCCGCCUGAGGAGUACGAUCGCAAGGCUUAAACUCAAAGGAAUUGACGGGGGCCCGCACAAGCGGUGGAGCAUGUGGCUUAAUUCGACGCAACGCGAAGAACCUUACCUGGAUUUGACAUCUCGGGAAUUCUUAUGGAAAUAGGAAGUGCCCUUCGGGGACCCCGAUGACAGGCAAUCCAUGGCGUUAGUCAGCUCGUUUCGUGAAAUGUUGGAUUAAGUCCCCUACCGAGCGCAACCCCUUUCUUUAGUAGCCAGCGAUUUAUUUGGGCACUCUUUAAGAGACUGCACCGGUUAACGGGGAGCCCACUGGGGAUGAAGUCAAGUCUCUCAUGGCCCUUAUGUCCAGGGCUACAAAAGUGCUACAAUGGCCUGUACAAAGGGCAGCGAACUCGCGAGUGUAAGCCAAUCCCAAGAAGCAGUCCUCAGUUCGGAUUGGAGUCUGCAACUCGACUCCAUGAAGUUGGAAUCGCUAGUAAUCGUGGAUCAGCAUCCCACCGUGGAUAACUUCCCGGGCCUUGUA
rnacentral:rRNA from 1 species